rnacentral:rRNA from 1 species
UACGUAGGGUGCAAGCGUUGUCCGGAAUUAUUGGGCGUAAAGAGCUCGUAGGUGGCCUGUCGCGUCGGCUGUGAAAACUCGGGGCUCAACUCCGAGCUUGCAGUCGAUACGGGCAGGCUAGAGUUCGGCAGGGGAGACUGGAAUUCCUGGUGUAGCGGUGAAAUGCGCAGAUAUCAGGAGGAACACCGGUGGCGAAGGCGGUGGCCUGGGCCGGAACUGACGCUGAGGAGCGAAAGCGUGGGGAGCAAACAGG